AUGAACGACGUGGCGGAAUGCUUUACACAUGCGAAGUACGAACGGCAGCACGGGGCAACCUGGUGGCGAGUGGCGGAACGGGUGAGUAAAUACAUCGGAAACGUGCCCAAGUCGUGGGGGAUAACGUAGCGAAAGUUACGCUAAUACCGCAUACGAUCUACGGAUGAAAGCGGGGGAUCGCAAGACCUCGCGCGAGUGGAGCGGCCGAUGUCAGAUUAGGUAGUUGGUGGGGGUAAAGGCUCACCAAGCCAACGAUCUGUAGCUGGUCUGAGAGGACGACCAGCCACACUGGAACUGAGACACGGUCCAGACUCCUACGGGAGGCAGCAGUGGGGGAAUUUUGGACAAUGGGCGCAAGCCUGAUCCAGCCAUUCCGCGUGCAGGAUGAAGGCCUUCGGGUUGUAAACUGCUUUUGUACGGAACGAAACGGCGAGCUCUAAUACAGUUUGCUAAUGACGGUACCGUAAGAAUAAGCACCGGCUAACUACGUG
rnacentral:rRNA from 1 species